rnacentral:tRNA from 1 species
AGUCGGUAGAGCAGGUGAUUGAAAAUCCCCGUGUCCUUGGUUCGAUUCCGAGUCCGGGCACCA